rnacentral:lncRNA from 1 species
GGCCUCAAUGCUCUCUCUUUCCAUUGCCAUGUUGCUUUUAGUAUUAACUUGGGUAGUAAAAGCUUUUCAGGAGAGGGGAAGAUGUUUCUCCAUGUGUUCCAUCAUCCCCAACCCUACACAGGAAAAUCGUAGGACACCCAGAUCAGAGGAAAUUUACACAUAGAAAAAUAUAGAGUUAUAUAAAAUGUUUGUACAAGAAACUCAAAAGACCACACCUGUAAAUGUACAUAAGAGAAAUGUAAACCAUUUUACCUUUUUUAUUCUUGGGCUUCAAUUACCAUAAUGACAAAGACAGUGAGCAGAAGAUGAGCAUCAUUGUGAAGUACUGAAGUACACCAGUUCACCCAAGUUUAGUUAAAA